ACCACGACUCUCGACAAUGGAUA
rnacentral:rRNA from 1 species